rnacentral:rRNA from 1 species
UACGUAGGGCGCAAGCGUUGUCCGGAAUUAUUGGGCGUAAAGAGCUCGUAGGCGGCUUGUCGCGUCGGUUGUGAAAGCCCGGGGCUUAACCUCGGGUCUGCAGUCGAUACGGGCUGGCUAGAGUGUGGUAGGGGAGAUCGGAAUUCCUGGUGUAGCGGUGAAAUGCGCAGAUAUCAGGAGGAACACCGGUGGCGAAGGCGGAUCUCUGGGCCAUUACUGACGCUGAGGAGCGAAAGCGUGGGGAGCGAUCCGG